rnacentral:rRNA from 1 species
UGAAUACGAGAUGCUACGGCAUUGAAGUAGUGUAUGUCAGACUUCCAAGAAAAGCUCGCAAUGUCAUAAAUAGAUAAUGCCUGUACCAUAACCGACACAGGUGGGUAGGUAGAGUAUACUAAGGGGCGCGAGAUAACUCUCUCUAAGGAACUCGGCAAAAUGACUCCGUAACUUCGGGAGAAGGAGUGCCUCAUUUAUGAGGUUGCAAUAACAAGAUCCAAGCAACUGUUUACCAAAAACACAGGUCUCCGCUAAGUCGUAAGACGAUGUAUGGGGGCUGACGCCUGCCCAGUGCCAGAAGGUUAAAGAAGUUGGUUAGCAUCCGCGAAGCUGAUAACUGAAGCCCUGGUGAACGGCGGCCGUAACAAUAACGGUCCUAAGGUAGCGAAAUUCCUUGUCGGGUAAGUUCCGACCCGCACGAAAGGCGUAAUGAUUUGGAUUCUGUCUCAGAGAGGGACUCGGUGAAAUAGACUUGUCUGUGAAGAUGCGGACUACCUGCACCAGGACAGAAAGACCCUAUGAAGCUUUACUGUAACUUGAAAUUGAAAUUGGACUUUAGUUGCGCAGUAUAGGUGGGAGGCGUUGAGUUUAUUCUUGCGGGAAUUUAGGAGCCAUCAGUGAGAUACCACUCUGCUAAUGUUAGAUUUCUAACUUUGCAUCAUAAUCUGGUCAAAGAACAGUUUCAGGCGGGCAGUUUGACUGGGGCGGUCGCCUCCUAAAUGGUAACGGAGGCGUACAAAGGUUUCCUCUGAACGUGUAGAAAUCGUAUCUAGAGUAUAAAGGCAUAAGGAAGCUUGACUGUGAGACUUACAAGUCGAGCAGGGACGAAAGUCGGUCUUAGUGAUCUGACGGUGCUGAGUGGAAAGGCCGUCACUCAACGGAUAAAAGUUACUCUAAGGAUAACAGGCUGAUCUCCCCCAAGAGUUCACAUCGACGGGGAGGUUUGGCACCUCGAUGUCGGCUCAUCGCAUCCUGGGGCGGUAGUACGUCCCAAGGGUUGGGCUGUUCGCCCAUGAAAGCGGUACGCGAGCUGGGUUCAGAACGUCGUGAGACAGUUCGGUCCAUAUCCGGUGUAGGCGUUAGAAUAUUGAGAGGAGCCUUCUUUAGUACGAGAGGACCGAGAAGGACAUACCUCUGGUGUACCAGUUAUCGUGCCAACGGUAAACGCUGGGUAGCUAUGUAUGGAGUGGAUAACCGCUGAAAGCAUCUAAGUGGGAAGCCCACCUCAAGAUAAGUA